UGGGGAAUUUUGGACAAUGGGGGAAACCCUGAUCCAGCCAUGCCGCGUGAGUGAAGAAGGCCUUCGGGUUGUAAAGCUCUUUUGGCCGGAAAGAAAAGGCCACGGAUAACACCCGUGGUUCUUGACGGUACCGGCAGAAUAAGCACCGGCUAACUACGUGCCAGCAGCCGCGGUAAUACGUAGGGUGCGAGCGUUAAUCGGAAUUACUGGGCGUAAAGCGUGCGUAGGCGGUCCUCCAAGUCCGCUGUGAAAGCCCCGGGCUUAACCUGGGAAUUGCAGUGGAAACUAUGGGACUUGAAUCUGGCAGAGGGGGGUGGAAUGCCACGUGUAGCAGUGAAAUGCGUGGAGAUGUGGCGGAACACCGAUGGCGAAGGCAGCCCCCUGGGCUGAGAUUGACGCUCAGGCACGAAAGCGUGGGGAGCAAACAGGAUUAGAUACCCUGGUAGUCCAGGCCCUAAACGAUGACAACUAGGUGUUGGGGAAGCGAUUUCUCAGUACCGCAGCUAACGCGUGAAGUUGUCCGCCUGGGGAGUACGGUCGCAAGAUUAA
rnacentral:rRNA from 1 species